UGACCAUAUUACAUUUAAACACUAGUUCCCAUAUGAUCACUGAAGUUAAGCAACAUUGAGCCUGGUCAGUACUCGUGAAAGCUUGGGAAUAUCAGGUACUGUAAG